rnacentral:rRNA from 1 species
GGUUAAUACGAGCUGAUCGAGC